UACGUAGGGGGCAAGCGUUGUCCGGAAUUAUUGGGCGUAAAGAGCGCGUAGGCGGCCAACUAAGUCGGACGUGAAAUCCCCAGGCUCAACCUGGGAACUGCGUCCGAUACUGGAUGGCUUGAAUCCGGGAGAGGGAUGCAGAAUUCCAGGUGUAGCGGUGAAAUGCGUAGAUAUCUGGAGGAAUACCGGUGGCGAAGGCGGCAUCCUGGACCGGCAUUGACGCUGAGGAGCGAAAGCCAGGGGAGCAAACGGG
rnacentral:rRNA from 1 species